GUGGCUGUAGUUUAGUGUUUAGAAUUCUACGUUGUGGCCGUAGAGACCUGGGCUCGAAUCCCAGCAGCCACA
rnacentral:tRNA from 1 species